GGCAAUACUUGUUAAAAGUGUGAGCUUUAAUGAAGAUGCUAUCGCAGUAACACAGCUUGAUGGCACAGGUCUAGUCAAAUAAGUUAAGUAAGCCCACACUGGUGACAUUUUCAUGUUAAACAUGGUACAUCAAAUUGAGCUGUAGCGGACAAGGACAUGCUCUUGCUUACACAUAGGCUGUGUAGGAUGACAAAUCCCCAUAAUCUGACAUGACAAUCUUCCAGCACUUUAAUGAAGAUGUGGUGUUGACAAACACAGUAGGAUAAUCCUCACCUGCAACACUGCAUACUGGAACAGGAGUAGGGGUUUUAUACUACAUGGCUUGCUCAUACUUGAGACAGAAUACAAUAGAAGUUUGGGAUAGAACAGAUGAUAGGAAAGAUUAGGUAGAAUAUUGUUAUACUACAUGCUUGACAUGCAUCAAACUUUGUAAGCAUAACACACUGACAUUGUCUGUCAUGUAUCCAAACCCUUAUUGCCAGUGAAUGAGAGCAGUGAUAUCCAAGAAUGAAGUGCUUUAUGAGAAAGUUCAGAAUGUAUAUUUGUGUGAAAUGGCUGUAUGUCCAAAGUCUUAUAGUCACUGUAUACAUGUUAUUUUCCUCUAAUAGCUGAAGUGUUUGCAUUUGUAGUUAGCUCUAUGUGUACAUAUCAGUGUUGUCACCUUGUGAGUGGGUGUCUUGUGCAGGUAGUACUGGUGUUCAUAUCUGUGCACAUUUGUUUGCAGUAGUGAUGCCACUUUCUGUCCAGUGUGGUACAUAUAAAUAGAAGCACAUACAUAGUCUUUCGCAGUGUAAAUAAAUUGUUGCUAAUAUAAUUUAAAGUGGAAAGGCAUUUCAAAGACUCUUCAGAUCUCCCAUUGUGUGCCAUUUGUUGUUACCGCAGCUUUUUUCUUCAUCAUAAAUUGCUUUGCAGUUAUACUUGAAAUAGAAACAAGCAGUUAUAUGUUUUGCAGCACAUUUACUGUAUUCUGACUUGGACAGUAUGGCCUCAUAAUCAAAGAAUAUUUCACUUACAAAGCAUUUUUGAUGGAUAUGGAUGCAACUGCUGUUACACUGUUCAUUCAAUGUUUCAUACGUGACAAUAGCUGUUGACAAGCUGGGGACAUAUGUUAGGCAUAUCUUAUUUACUCGUUGACAGGGUAACACACCACCUGUCACACAGGCGGUCUUCAACUAUCAUUGAAAGCAAUGGCCAUUGAGCUAGGGUGCCUCAAUACUAGCACCUUCUGCAUAGCUAUAGGCUUAGCCACACACUACAUUUUGGAGUUGAGUAAAGUAUAAAGUAAAAAGUAUAGUAGAGGUGGUUUGAAAAAGUGGGUGAAAUUGGUACACAGCAUUCAUGCAUGGUAAACGUGGGCGUAAACAUGGCGGCUUUGCGGCAUUCGCUUCUACAAAGGGUGACUCCACCCUACACAGAGGGAGCUAGUAUUCAGGCACCCUACAUUGAACAUUCACGUAGCACCACCAAGUGUGAAACAUGUUGGCUUCUCGAGGAGCAUCGGAUCCAAUGCUCCCCCGACAGGUUGACAUGUCACGCUCUUGGUGGUGCUAGGCCACGUGCUCAAUGGCAGUUGCUUUCAAUUAUCAUUGAAGACUGCUUGUGUGACGACAGGUAUAACGCAGGCAUCAUUUUGCGAAUUGCAUUUUUCGUGAAAACCCGAGGUACGUGUCGGUCUGAGAUAAGCACAUCUGGGCUGUCAACCACUUGUGCAAGGUUGGAAUUGAAAGGGAUUGCAGUAUACUGACCAGCUGCUCCAUGAGUAACAUCAAUGGCAGAAAUGCAGCACAUAAAGGUGAUGCAAGUAACCCAUUUUUGCAGUGGACUUGUCAACAGCUUUUUGUAGCGUAUGUCACAUGGCUUUCAAUACUUCCUCUAAUUCUAGACUCUCUUUUUUUUCCAAAGCUCUAGGCAGGGUACGCACAGCCGAGAGGUAUUCGAUGUAUCAGAGAACUCAGCUGGAGCAAGAAUACCAGCGAAGCCGCUUUAUAUCCUACGAACGAAAACUUAUGAUAGCCCAACGGCUAGGUCUAUCAGAGAGGCAGGUUCAGUUUUGGUUUCAGAAUCGACGGAACAAAGAGAAAAGAAUGAUUCAGCGCCAGAACUCAGAGUUGCAUGUACGGCUUCUCUGAUAACGUGUCCGUCAUGCAUUCUGCUUGGCUGUUAUACAGUUUGUCCUCGCAUGCCUUGCGCAAGCAACUGCAUACCUUCUAUGCAUUUUCACAUCAAGUUUAACAAACCGAUAGUGAAACCUCGUUAAUUCAAGUUUUUCCCAUUCAUGCUUGAAUUUGAGUUAACUAGAUAAAUGUUCAAUAUGGAUUCAAAGUUCACUUAAAUCAUUCUGGAAUUCAACUUUUGAUUGCAAGUUGAUUGGCAGUUUUGCACCUGGAGACUUUUGUUUGUCUGCCUCUAUGUACUUUCAAUCAUGUUCAACUUCUGAAUUAACGACGCUCAACUACUUCUGUUCGUUGUUACAGAAACCAAGCCUUACAAAAGUCAACUCAUGCAUUUGUCAACAUAACUGCAUUGUGCCACACUAUAGAACUGUGCACCAACAUUUGUACUUUUUUAUUGCUUCGAUUAGAUGCUUCAUCAGUUGAAUUGUGGAGAAGUCACGUUUGCAGCAUCCGUGAAAGGUGCUUCACAGAUAGGUUUAACUGAAGCCAGUCAACGUAAGGCUUCGUUGACGUUUGCUUAAUAUGCGCAUACUCAUUUCAAAUUGAUUUUUUUGUUUUGUUUUGGGAUCUUGUGUGAUGUCGUUAUGAUCUGACUGAUGCACUGUUGGGGAGAAUAUCGAAGCAUGUUUCAAGUUAUCUUUACCUGUUAAUGAUAUGUACUAAUCAGUGGCGGAUCCGGGGAGGGGGGGGGUCAGUUUAUACAUUGGAUUUCCCUCUCUCUCCCCCUCUCCCACUACACGCCCAGACAAAGAAAGCACCCCAAACCGAGGGUUGGGAUCCGCACCUGGUACUAAUUCUACUUACCCUCAACCUCGAUACCAAAAAAAAAAAAAGAAAAGUCUACUGCUCUGUGUCGGCCCCUCUCAGAUUUUUUGUGCCUGAGACAUGUCUGUUUCUAGUAAAUGUAACCGCAACAUUUGAGUGAGGAGUUCUGCACUCAAUCUUUUAAGCCAAAGUUGAUAUUUCUGUUUGUGUCGUUUACGUGAACCGUUUUGUAUUUGUGUCAAGUAGCUUAGAUAUUUGUUGGUCUUCCUUGUUUUCUAAAGGGCAGCUACAGCUGAGGAAGCCCCUUGGGCUAGUGUUUAAACUUAUAGUCAGCCAAGUUGCUCUCCUUGGGAUCAUGAGGAACUGUAGGAUCUGACAGCCGAAAUUAAUAGAGCAGCUGUUCAGUUUGUGUCAUGUAGCCAUGACCGUGUGUAGAGUUUGAAAUGAACAAAUGUAUGCAGUUGUUUCCCAUUCUCCACUGUAACACUGCAUGGCUGUACAGUAUUUGGCUUUUAUUUUUGUCACUAUAAGCUAUACUGUUUAAUUUUGCGGCAUUUUUUAAAUCAUUUACUACAGUUGUCACUAUACAGGGCAUACUCUACACUAUAUGCAAACUUUUUUGUUACUGCACUGUGCUUACAUGUGUAGUGGAAUAACAAGUAUAAGACUGCUUUUUUUUAUUUUUUACUAUAUCUUUUACGUAUUUACCUGAGUGUCACAUGUUUUAUCCCUGUUGAGUGUUGGAAGUAUAUGCAUUUAUUCAAAGUGAUAAAUAAAGCAGCUUUGACAUCUUAUUUCUCGUAAUGCAGUGCUUAUAACUGGAACCUCCACAGUUGCAUUUGUUGACUACAUUUUAACUGCAUAUGCAUGACUACAGAUCGUUACAGACCCAACUUUGCUUUUUUUUUCCCCGCUCAUUUUAGCCCUUCCGGUUAAGUGCCAAGACAUAGCUGUGAGAAUCCCCGAGCUUGUGCUAGCAUAAAUAUUCCGCAACUCCAGCAGCGGUCAGACCGCAAAUUGGUGGCAACAUCUGCAAUACUCUAGUGAUGCGUGCAAGUAAAAAUAUUCAGGUGGGGCAGAGAACUUAGUAUUGUAGGAACCUAAAAAUAGCGUAUGGGCUAUUUUCAGCUUUUUGGACGUAUCUAAUAUUCAGCUCCGUCGUUCCUGGCUGCAAAGAUCUAACGACAGCGGCACGUUAUCUAUUGCAGGACGGUAUUUUACCCCCUACCAGAAAGACCGUCUGGUGAGGGCCUAUGCGGCAAAUGCAUACCCAAACACCAUGGAACAGCGAAUCCUGGGAGCCUGCUUAGGGCUGACGACAGAGCAAGUCAAGGUCUGGUUUGCAAACAAGAGGACGAGAGAUCGCAAAAAAGCUGCCUGCGGAAACUUCAGCUUUUAGCAGGACGAGUACGAACCCUCGAGAGAUAUCGUGACGUCUACACCCUCUACCAGAGGACUCUUCUGGAGGAAGAGUAUCAGCUGAACCGAUUCAUUGGUCACUCUGAGUGCGUGGCACUAGCCGAAAAGCUAUCGCUCACUCCUAGGCAAGUCAAAUACUGGUUUCAGAACAGACGAGCCAAAGAGAAAAAAAUAAUCCGCAGGAACUUCCUCUUGUUGAGGCCUACCUUUAAUGGCGUUUGACCACGAGGUAGAGCUCCUCGACGAAAGCCAAAGUGUAACAAUACUUGUGUUCUGUAUUUUUUACUACCUCUCUCCAUUGUAUCGAACAAACUGUAUUAGAUGCCUUUAGGCCACACUUAGACUGUAUAAAAACGCAACUGUAUGACUCCUUUACUACAUCAAGAAACAGUUGUUGCAUGUUAUAAUAAACUGCGCCCACUUCGUGGGUGGCAAUGAUAACGUGUCAUUGCUCAUCAAAAGAAUUGCCCUUGCUAGGUAUACGUGUACCUGUUUUACAGGUUGUGCAUUCUGGGCAGCUCCAAAAUAAAAUCUGUAUGGUGUCAAA